AGCCUGGUGACGAUGCUCUGUUAGAGAGCUCCAAGCUCAACCGUGGCGGACCUGGUGGACUGGCAAAUGGCUGUGCGGUCAGGACAUCACAGCGCCACAUCAAAGGGCCCUGGUGCAUCUCAAAGCCAAAAUCUGAAAAGAUGAAUCUUGGUUUCCUAUUCAACAUAACUGCAGAGGAGAAGGAAACCACUGUAAUGGAGUGAAUCAAUGAGAAGGCUCCCUCUUGUGUGCGGCUAGUACCUCCACAGAUGGUGUGAAGGAAAUCUGGGCUCUUCUCUAAAGGGUUCAGCCAUCUUUACCAAAUCCCUUUGUCAUCUUCAUAAAGUCUUGAGUUGAAGAACACGUGUGGGUGGAAUGUGUGAAUAAGGUUGACCCAGCUUCUAGAAGCCACAUACGUUCCUGGCUCACGGCCCCCGUUCUGCAUCUUCAAAGCCUCAAAUCUCUCACUCUGACCAGUUUCCAGUUUGGCAUAUAAGCGCCUGGUGUGUAUACAUUUGUCCAAACCCACAGAACAUACUACACCAAGAGUGAAC